CUGGCGGCGUGCCUAAUCAUGCACCCGAGCGAAUGGAAUUAAGAGCUUGCUCUUAUGAAGUUAGCGGCGGACGGGUGAGUAACACGUGGGUAACCUGCCCAUAAGACUGGGAUAACUCCGGGAAACCGGGGCUAAUACCGGAUAACAUUUUGAACCGCAUGGUUCGAAAUUGAAAGGCGGCUUCGGCUGUCACUUAUGGAUGGACCCGCGUCGCAUUAGCUAGUUGGUGAGGUAACGGCUCACCAAGGCAACGAUGCGUAGCCGACCUGAGAGGGUGAUCGGCCACACUGGGACUGAGACACGGCCCAGACUCCUACGGGAGGCAGCAGUAGGGAAUCUUCCGCAAUGGACGAAAGUCUGACGGAGCAACGCCGCGUGAGUGAUGAAGGCUUUCGGGUCGUAAAACUCUGUUGUUAGGGAAGAACAAGUGCUAGUUGAAUAAGCUGGCACCUUGACGGUACCUAACCAGAAAGCCACGGCUAACUACUGCCAGCAGCCGCGGUAAUACGUAGGUGGCAAGCGUUAUCCGGAAUUAUUGGGCGUAAGCGCGCGCAGGUGGUUUCUUAAGUCUGAUGUGAAACCCCGGCCUCCACCGUGGAGGGUCUUGAAAACUGGGAAAACUUGACUGCAAGAGAGAAAGUGAAUUCCAUGUUGUCCCGCUAAAAUGCCUAGGAAAUAUGGAGGAACCCCAUGGCCAAG
rnacentral:rRNA from 1 species